AGUGAACGCUGGCGGUAGGCCUAACACAUGCAAGUCGAACGGCAGCACAGUAAGAGCUUGCUCUUACGGGUGGCGAGUGGCGGACGGGUGAGGAAUACAUCGGAAUCUACUUUUUCGUGGGGGAUAACGUAGGGAAACUUACGCUAAUACCGCAUACGACCUACGGGUGAAAGCAGGGGAUCUUCGGACCUUGCGCGAUUGAAUGAGCCGAUGUCGGAUUAGCUAGUUGGCGGGGUAAAGGCCCACCAAGGCGACGAUCCGUAGCUGGUCUGAGAGGAUGAUCAGCCACACUGGAAAUGAGACACGGUCCAGACUCCAACGGGAGGCAGCAGUGGGGAAUAUUGGACAAUGGGCGCAAGCCUGAUCCAGCCAUACCGCGUGGGUGAAGAAGGCCUUCGGGUUGUAAAGCCCUUUUGUUGGGAAAGAAAAGCAGCAGGUUAAUACCCCGCUGUUCUGACGGUACCCAAAGAAUAAGCACCGGCUAACUUCGUG
rnacentral:rRNA from 1 species